rnacentral:lncRNA from 1 species
CAACUGUACAACUAGCAGUACAUUACUUUUGUAUUAGCUUAAAAAAGUGACUUCUACGUUUUUUUCUGUAAGUCUAGUGUUAUAAGUUGUGGUUAAUAUAACUUUGAUGAAGGUAUAUACAUGAGGUUUUCUGUAUUAGCCAGGUAAAUAGUACAAGCUAUUUCUUGGUUUAAAACAUUGCAUACUUGCAUAAUCCUGAUAUGUUUAGCUGGAAAAGAUUCACGGAGACUAAAAACCCCACUGCAAAUAAGACAAUGGAAAUGGCCUCAUACUUUGCAUUGACUGAGGUGUUUUCCCUGAAGAAGGCCCAUUCUGGGAUAAGCAGCCAGACAGAGCAGCUGCUGGAUCAUGACGAAGCAUACGGGAAAGGUAGGCUAUUCACUCACACCCCCCCCCCACACACACACACACACACACACACACACAAGUAUCACAGGCCUUUACAAAUGGUGUUAUGGACAUUUUUCCUGUAGCUCAGGCUCUUCUUAGUGAUUGGAUGAACAGCAAGUUGCGUCUGGAACUGGAGAUAGAGGAGGAUGUGAUUGUCUCCCCUGAAAAGAACAGUCCAGCAGCCAUGGCACCUGCCCAGCCUGUCUCCCUGGACUACAGUAACUUUGAUGACCUGUAUUCCCACCUGGCUGAGGAGGAGGAGAGCUCAGUGGUCAACAACUUCCUUCAAGACCUCAUGGAGUGGGAAGUGGUGGAUUCUGGGAUAGUGCAGGAUCUGGCACUAGACUCAGAAGAGUGAGACAGGAGGAAGAGAAGGGGGAUGGGCCUCACCUUGGAG